rnacentral:lncRNA from 1 species
UAAAAGGGUUACGGACAGUCUUGAAAUGUGAAUCCAAACCCCAGGUUUUUAAACUCUUUGGCAAAUUCGAAUGACGACAGGUUUCCUCCUUCAGAGACGAAACAGGGUUCCAUCUGUGAAACCUGACUUCGAAGCAGAUGACGACUUUUCCCACGGGUGGUGCACCAGUACUUCUAGGAAACACAAACACCUGAUUUUGAUCUUAUUCAUUAGGAUUUCAUUUUAACAUGGAUCUGGAAUAAACAUAACUAGCACAUCUUGCUCAUAAUUACACAGCUUUUACUGUUUAGGAGGAGGCCUAACAGUAAGUUAAUUGUGGGCUAUUAACAGUCGUUAAUUCUGUUUAAGCAGGAGAUCACGUGAAAGAAUAAUCCUCAGUAAAUCUUGGCUGUGGGUGACUGAUGGACGUUUCGAAGCCUAGACUGGAAGAUGAGAUUGGGGUGAGGUGGCACACAGCAUGGCCUCAGGAACCUGGGAUCCAGCCACCUGCCGCUCCCAAUGGAGGGAAGAAGUCAUGGAGGGUCCCAGGGAGUGAUUGUGCAUCCAGCAUUAUGCAGAACAUGAAGAGGAGCACGUUGUAGUCUCUGAAUUCAGGAGAAGCAGACGGCAGAGGUGCAGUUUCCUUGCAGGUGGAGAUUGCCACUUGGUCUACAGAGUGAGGAGAAUACCACGAAAGGCAGAGCACAGAUAUCCAAGUGUGAUCGGACAGCAGGUCUUGGCCAGGAGCAUACACAGAAUAAACAAAUAAGUAAGUGAAGAGGGGAAGGGAAAGUAAUAUUAAGACUGUUCAAGACUUGAAAUACAGAUCUCCUAAAAAGGAGUCCUUUGAAGGCUUGGGAUACUACAGAAAGAUCCCAGUGACCACUGAGCCUGCUUUCGAAUUUUGAAGGAAAUACACCAGUUGAAUAAAGCAGUGUGACAUGAGAGAAAGGAGACCAGCAAAGGUGAAUGGGACACCAGCCUUUCAAGGACUUGUGCAGAGUAAUUGGAGGAGGCGUGAGCUCGGCCAAUGCUGUGGAUCAGUUUCCUAGGCUGCUGUAACAAAGCACCACAACCUGGUGGCUUAGAACAGUGGAAAGACAUUCGUUUGCAGUUCUGGAAACUGUAGGUUAUAAACUGAGUGUGGCAGGGUCACGACCCCUCUGAAACCUAGGAGGGAAGCAUCCUUCUCAGCUUCUUCCUGCUUCUGCUAUACCCUGAUGUUCCUGGGCUAGUGGCAGCAUAAUUCUGGCCUCUGCCUCUGUCUUAACAUGGUAUUUUUUUUCCUGUGUCUCUUUGUAUUGCCUUUUCUCUCUGUGCCUCUACCUCUGAAUCCAAAUUUCCCCUUUUUAUAAGGACACCAGUCACGUUGGAUUAGGGCCCACUAUAAAGACCUUGUUUUAACUUGAUUACUCUAUCGAGACCCUGA